rnacentral:rRNA from 1 species
AGGACGAACGCUGGCGGCGUGCUUAACACAUGCAAGUCGAGCGGAAAGGCCCUUCGGGGUACUCGAGCGGCGAACGGGUGAGUAACACGUGAGCAACCUGCCCUUAGCUCUGGGAUAGCUCCGGGAAACCGGAAUUAAUACCGGAUAUUACAUAGGCCGACAUCGGCUGAUGUGGAAAGAUUUAUCGGCUAAGGAUGGACUCGCGGCCUAUCAGCUAGUUGGUGGGGUAGAAGCCUACCAAGGCGACGACGGGUA